ACAGUGGCUCCUGCCAUGAUCAUGAAGGUGGUUUUCCCAGGGUGAGGCUUAUCCAUUGCACUCCAGAUGUGCUGACCGCUGCGAUUUCCCCAAAUGUGGGAAACUCGACUGCAUAAUUUGUGGUAGUGGGGGACUGCGUUUAUGCUUUCCCCU
rnacentral:snRNA from 1 species